GACGAACGCUGGCGGCGUGCUUAACACAUGUAAGUCGAACGGAAAGGCCCUGCUUUUGUGGGGUGCUCGAGUGGCGAACGGGUGAGUAACACGUGAGUAACCUGCCCUUGACUUUGGGAUAACUUCAGGAAACUGGGGCUAAUACCGGAUAGGAGCUCCUGCUGCAUGGUGGGGGUUGGAAAGUUUCGGCGGUUGGGGAUGGACUCGCGGCUUAUCAGCUUGUUGGUGGGGUAGUGGCUUACCAAGGCUUUGACGGGUAGCCGGCCUGAGAGGGUGACCGGCCACAUUGGGACUGAGAUACGGCCCAGACUCCUACGGGAGGCAGCAGUGGGGAAUAUUGCACAAUGGGCGGAAGCCUGAUGCAGCAACGCCGCGUGCGGGAUGACGGCCUUCGGGUUGUAAACCGCUUUCGCCUGUGACGAAGCGUGAGUGACGGGAAUGGGUAAAGAAGCACCGGCUAACUACGU
rnacentral:rRNA from 1 species